rnacentral:sRNA from 1 species
AGUCGCAGCUGCUUUCCGAGGAAGCCGGUGUUGCCGAGUCGGAGUCUCCCUCUGUAGCCCAGGCUGGAGUGCAGCAGUGUGAUCUCGGGUCACUGCAACCUUUACCUCCCAGGUUCAAGCGAUUCUCCUGCCUCGGCCUCCUGAGUAGCUGAGACUACAGAUUGCCAAAAUGCUUUGGAGUUUUUAACUGAAUCUAAGAAAAGUCCAAAAUAGAUUUGAGACUGUAAAAACAGAAACUGCAGCAAGGGGGAUUCAGUGCCAAUGCAUCAACAAAAAAGACAACCAGAGUUAGUGGAAGGAAAUCUUCCUGUUUUCGUGUUCCCCACGGAGCUCAUAUUUUAUGCAGAUGAUCAGUCAACACAUAAGCAAGUGUUGACACUGUACAAUCCCUAUGAGUUUGCCUUAAAGUUCAAAGUUUUGUGUACUACUCCAAAUAAGUAUGUUGUCGUUGAUGCUGCAGGUGCAGUAAAGCCUCAGUGUUGUGUGGAUAUUGUGAUUCGUCAUCGAGAUGUUCGAUCCUGUCACUAUGGUGUAAUAGACAAAUUCCGUCUCCAAGUUUCCGAGCAAAGCCAAAGGAAGGCUUUGGGAAGAAAAGAGGUUGUUGCUACUCUUCUCCCAUCAGCAAAAGAACAACAAA